rnacentral:rRNA from 1 species
ACUCAAAUGAAUUGACGGGGACCCGCACAAGCGGUGGAUUAUGUGGAUUAAUUCGAUGCAACGCGAAAAACCUUACCUACCCUUGACAUGUCCUGAAUCCUAGAGAGAUCUGGGAGUGCCCGAAAGGGAACGGGAACACAGGUGCUGCAUGGCUGUCGUCAGCUCGUGUCGUGAGAUGUUGGGUUAAGUCCCGCAACGAGCGCAACCCUUGUCAUUAGUUGCUACAUUCAGUUGGGCACUCUAAUGAGACUGCCGGUGACAAACCGGAGGAAGGUGGGGAUGACGUCAAGUCCUCAUGGCCCUUAUGGGUAGGGCUUCACACGUAAUACAAUGGCGCGUACAGAGGGUUGCCAAGGGGUGACCUGGAGCCAAUCCCACAAAGCGCGUCGUAGUCCGGAUUGCAGUCUGCAACUCGACUGCAUGAAGUCGGAAUCGCUAGUAAUCGCGGAUCAGCAUGUCGCGGUGAAUACGUUCCCGGGUCUUGUACACACCGCCCGU